rnacentral:rRNA from 1 species
AUUGAACGCUGGCGGCAGGCCUAACACAUGCAAGUCGAACGAGUGGUGGACGGGUGAGUAAUGUCUGGGACACUGCCUGAUGGAGGGGGAUAACUACUGGAAACGGUAGCUAAUACCGCAUACCAUCAGAUGUGCCCAGGUGGGAUUAGCUAGGUGGUGGGGUAACGGCUCACCAAGGCGACGAUCCCUAGCUGGUCUGAGAGGAUGACCAGCCCAACUGGAACUGAGACAAGGUCCAGACUCCGAAGGGAGGCAGCAGUGGGGAAUAUUGGACAAUGGGGGCAAGCCUGAUGCAGCCAUGCCGCGUGUAAGAAGAAGGCCUUCGGGUUUGAAAGUAAUUUUAGCGGGGAGGCGUUACCCGCAGAAGAAGCACCGGCUAAAUCCGUGCCAGCAGCCGCGGUAAUUC